rnacentral:rRNA from 1 species
AGUGAACGCUGGCGGUAGGCCUAACACAUGCAAGUCGAACGGCAGCACAGUAAGAGCUUGCUCUUACGGGUGGCGAGUGGCGGACGGGUGAGGAAUACAUCGGAACCUACUUUUUCGUGGGGGAUAACGUAGGGAAACUUACGCUAAUACCGCAUACGACCUACGGGUGAAAGCAGGGGAUCUUCGGACCUUGCGCGAUUGAAUGAGCCGAUGUCGGAUUAGCUAGUUGGCGGGGUAAAGGCCCACCAAGGCGACGAUCCGUAGCUGGUCUGAGAGGAUGAUCAGCCACACUGGAACUGAGACACGGUCCAGACUCCUACGGGAGGCAGCAGUGGGGAAUAUUGGACAAUGGGCGCAAGCCUGAUCCAGCCAUACCGCGUGGGUGAAGAAGGCCUUCGGGUUGUAAAGCCCUUUUGUUGGGAAGGAAAAGCAGCAGGUUAAUACCCCGCUGUUCUGACGGUACCCAAAGAAUAAGCACCGGCUAACUUCGUG